GACGAACGCUGGCGGCGUGCCUAACACAUGCAAGUCGAGCGGGGGGAGUUCUUCGGAACAAACCUAGCGGCGGACGGGUGAGUAACACGUGGGUAACCUGCCUCAAAGUGGGGGAUAGCCUUCCGAAAGGAAGAUUAAUACCGCAUAACCCAUGAUUUCCGUAUGGAAGUCAUGGUAAAGAUUUAUCGCUUUGAGAUGGACCCGCGGCGCAUUAGCUAGUUGGUGAGGUAACGGCUCACCAAGGCCACGAUGCGUAGCCGACCUGAGAGGGUGAUCGGCCACAUUGGAACUGAGACACGGUCCAGACUCCUACGGGAGGCAGCAGUGGGGAAUAUUGCACAAUGGGCGAAAGCCUGAUGCAGCAACGCCGCGUAAGUGAUGAAGGCCUUCGGGUUGUAAAGCUCUGUCUUUUGGGACGAUAAUGACGGUACCAAAGGAGGAAGCCACGGCUAACUACGUGCCAGCAGCCGCGGUAAAAC
rnacentral:rRNA from 1 species